rnacentral:rRNA from 1 species
GACGAACCGUGCAAACGUUAUUCGGAAUCACUGGGCUUAAAGGGCGCGUAGGCGGGCCGCCAGGUCCGGGGUGAAAGCCUCCAGCUCAACUGGAGAAGUGCCUUGGAUACCGGCGGCCUCGAGGGAGGUAGGGGCGUGCGGAACUUCGGGUGGAGCGGUGAAAUGCGUAGAUAUCCGAAGGAACACCGGUGGCGAAAGCGGCGCGCUAGAUCUCUUCUGACGCUGAGGCGCGAAAGCCAGGGGAGCAAACGGG